rnacentral:lncRNA from 1 species
GCCACUGAGCUUUGGCUCAGCCAGCCCCGCCCCAUCAUCUGUGGAGGAGGUCCCUGCCAGUUAGACCAGCCCAACCUAGGAACACUGAGCACGGAUCCGGGAAUCGCUGUAUCUGUGAGCGAUUGACUGUCCUGCCGUCCCAGCCACCCAGCCUGCCUCACCCGCCCAGUGUGGAGCUGCGUGUAGAACCUUGGUCCAGAGGCAGGAGGGAGGCCGGCCUCCACUCACUGGGCAUGGAUCCGCCGGCCACGCGCCUCUGAGGCCUGGCGUUCAUGGAUUUUCUUUCAGAAUCCAGUGUGGAAGUACAGAAGACCUGCCACUACAUGGGAAUCCUGGUUAAGGGGCUGCAGUCCCUUGUAACUCCAUAACCACCAUAAGGGAAGUAUGCAGACCUGUUCUAAGACCAUUACCACAGCAGGGAAUUCUUGGACCCC